rnacentral:rRNA from 1 species
ACAUACGACCAUACCCGCGGUGAAGCUCAGGAUCCCGUUUGCUCUCCAUACGAUAAACCCGUGAGGGACAGAUUAGUAGUUGGGUCGGUGACGACCAGCGAAUACCGGUUGUUGUAUGUU